rnacentral:lncRNA from 1 species
CAAUUGAUUCAUUUCAACAUUUUCACUUCCAAAUACCAUAGAUAAAAUAGAACCUCACUUCCAUUACAGAAUCCAUAUCCCUCCUUUCACUCCUUUUAAAACUCUAAACCCUCCAUUUUCAUCUCAAAAUUUGAACAUCAAUUUUUCUUGUCUCUCUUACAUCAUUAAUUUUCUUAAUACCCCACCAUCAAACAUAAAAUUG